AGACAAUGCCCAGACCUCCAGAAACCAUGUGUCAAGCUCGGAUUGCCUUAGACAGGUGCAAUUUAAGAACAGCUUUCAUCCUCUUUUCUCUCAUAUUGUCACACUAUGUGUUCUGACUUCUGGCUCCUUUCCUCACAAGAAGCUCACCCAGCUGGAACUCUUAUGGGACCUUGGCACCAGAGACCACAAAUUCCUCUUUGAAGUUUUCUAACAGCAACAAUGACAGAGUUUCGCUCUGUCGCCCAGGCUGGAGUGCAGUGGCGCGCGAUCUCGGUUCACUGCAAGCUCCACCUCCCGGGUUCACGCCAUUCUCCUGCCUCAGCCUCCUGAGUAGCUGGGACUACAGGCGCCCGCCACCACACCCAGGAAUCCAACUUGCUGUUUGCUAUCACAUGUGCUAUACAUGCUGUUGAUGAAACUGCUAAAGGGGCUGAAUGUGACUGACGUCUUUGGAAGGAUGAGACUUAGCGUGCCUGUACAGUUGUGUCCAAAUGCUGUCCUCAUCUCCCAAUGAAAAGGAACAAAACCCAUCAGAAGAUGUCAGAAGAUAAGGAUUUUUGUCCUGAUGCUACACUUACCAGCUGUCCCUCAGUGUUCUACUUCUUAAAAAAAGAGAGAUGGAUAAACAGAGGCAACCCGAGGAUAAAGGCCUUGCUCAGUGUCACACAUUUCAGUCACUAAAUAAGACACAAUGGAUGCCAGUAUUCUCAUCCCCUCACAAAUAAAGAGCCUUCAAGCUCUUGCAGUCAACAAGAACUUUUGGAAUGAUUUCACUGCCUGAAAAGGCAGAUACAUAGGUGACACCCACAAAUAGGAAGAAAAUCAACCUGAACCUGAGUGUGUGGGCUCACUGACUCUAAGCAGUAGAGACAGAAGAAAAAGUUUUAGCAAAGAAGGGUUCUGAAAGAAAAUAAAUAUAGCUCGUUAUCAAGUGCUGUUUUUACACAGUAAAACAUGGGCAAAAUUACUCUUCUUUAAGUAGUAAUUCUUAUCUCUUGAUUAAGUCACCUACUCAUUCAUUUAAUAAAUACAUACUGAUUGU
rnacentral:lncRNA from 1 species